ensembl:snRNA
UAAAAGGGCUUCUGUCAUGAGUGGCACACACAGGGCAACUUGACCGCUCUUUGUGUGGAAUCGACAUCAAGACUUUGGAAGCAUAAUUUUUUGGUACCUGGGCAGCUGGUGAUCAUGGAAAAAAACACAUAUUUCUUAGCUCUGAU